GUGCUCACUUCCGCAGCACAUAGGCUAAAACCGGAACAACACAGAGGUUAGCAGGCCCCUGCAUGAGGAUGGCACACAAAUUUGUGAAACAUUCCAUAUUUAG